rnacentral:lncRNA from 13 species
GUAAUUCUGCACCCACUUUACAUAUGAAGAAGCUGAAGUCUUGCAAAGUGGCCCAAGGUCUCCCAGGGAUGACCUGCUGGAAGCAAGCUAUGAAUCUAAGUCUCACCCCAAAGCUGCCUGUGUUCUCUUGUGAAAAGAACCACAAGCCAAAAGUUGGUAUGAUCUUUUGGGUCUCCCAGGGGUCAACAGACAAUGGAUCAAUACCCAAGGACAGACACCUCUCUAAGAGCUGUGAUUGAGCUUGCAUACCUCACCCAACAGCGCCUCAGAUGAAGAAGAUCCUGCGGCAUCCCUGGUAUCCAUGGCCUUUCAUUGCUCCUGGAAUUCUUGCUCCUUUUUGAGUGAGUGUGCUUUGUUCGUUUCAUAAUUGGACUCUUAAUUCAGCAAUAGCUCUGGCCAGUUGCUAUUAAUGAUCACUUUGCUCUCCUCUUCCCAUAGCAAUUAUUAAUUAAACUGCUCAGAGAGUCAUAAUGAGAAAUUAAAGACUGUAAUAAUAUUUUAGGAAGCAGUAUCCCAUGAUCUUGGAGGCCUAUAUUCUGUUCCAAAGGCAGAGCAGAGUUUGUUUAAUUCACAAACAUUUACUGAGUCCCCUUUAGGUAGAAGGCCCCAUUCAGUUUCCAGGCAUACACCAAGGAUGGCAUCUGCUCUAGGGAGGAGCUGAAGGUCAUGGUGUGGAGUGUUUUUUGAUCCAAGUCUUAACUCUUAUUGAUUCUCCUUUCUCAACUUGUACCCUUCCAUCGAGAAUCAGUUCCAACUUUCCCUUCUACUUUCAUUACCUACCGUUCCCUCCCACAACCUUAAGAAGCCCUCAGGUUAAUUGCUCCUUUUCUGAGUUCCUGUGAUAACUUUGUAUAAAUCUCUAUUAUAGAAC